GAGUGCGAUCAUACCAGCACUAAAGCACCGGAUCCCAUCAGAACUCCAAAGUUAAGCGUGCUUGGGCGAGAGUAGUACUAUGAUGGGUGACCCCCUGGGAAGUCCUCGUGUUGCACUCC
rnacentral:rRNA from 1 species